rnacentral:rRNA from 1 species
AUUGAACGCUGGCGGAAUGCUUUACACAUGCAAGUCGAACGGUAGAGGGGGCAACCCCUCGAGAGUGGCGAACGGGUGAGUAAUAUAUCGGAACGUGCCCAGUCGUGGGGGAUAACGUAGCGAAAGUUACGCUAAUACCGCAUACGAUCUAAGGAUGAAAGCGGGGGAUCGCAAGACCUCGCGCGAUUGGAGCGGCCGAUAUCAGAUUAGGUAGUUGGUGGGGUAAAGGCUCACCAAGACAACGAUCUGUAGCUGGUCUGAGAGGACGACCAGCCACACUGGAACUGAGACUCGGUCCAGACUCCUACGGGAGGCAGCAGUGGUGAAUUUUGGACAAUGGACGCAAGUCUGAUCCAGCCAUUCCGCGUGCAGGAUGAAGGCCCUCGGGUUGUAAACUGCUUUUGUACGGAACGAAAAGGUCUCUCUUAAUACGGGGGGCUCAUGACGGUACCGUAAGAAUAAGCACCGGCUAACUACGUGCCAGCAGCCGCAGUAA